rnacentral:rRNA from 1 species
AUACGGAGGAUGCGAGCGUUAUCCGGAUUUAUUGGGUUUAAAGGGAGCGUAGGCGGGAGCUUAAGUCAGCGGUUAAAUGGUGCGGCUCAACCGUGCCCUGCCGUUGAAACUGGGUUUCUUGAGAGUGCAAGAGGCGGAUGGAAUUCCUGGGGUAGCGGGGAAAUGCUUAGAUAUCAUGAAGAACUCCGAUUGCGAAGGCAGUCCGCUGGGGCACGUCUGACGCUGAUGCUCGAAGGUGCGGGAAUCAAACAGGAUUAGAUACCCUGGUAGUCCGCACGGUAAACGAUGAUUACCCGCUGUCGGCGGUAGACAGUCGGCGGCCAAGCGAAAGCGAUAAGUAAUCCACCUGGGGAGUACGCCGGCAACGGUGAAACUCAAAGGAAUUGACGGGG